rnacentral:snoRNA from 1 species
UCUCCCCUUUAAGCUUUGCCCACUUGAGGUAGUUGAUGUUUUGAGUGGCCAUUACUAAGGGGUAUAUUAUGAUCCGCUCUAAAAUCCUGAGUCAAAGGUUUCACCGCUGACUUUGGCUCUGUAGGGAGGAACAAGA